rnacentral:rRNA from 1 species
AUUGAACGCUGGCGGCAUGCUUUACACAUGCAAGUCGAACGGUAACAGGCCGCAAGGUGCUGACGAGUGGCGAACGGGUGAGUAAUGCAUCGGAACGUGCCCAGUCGUGGGGGAUAACGCAGCGAAAGCUGCGCUAAUACCGCAUACGAUCUAUGGAUGAAAGCGGGGGACCGUAAGGCCUCGCGCGAUUGGAGCGGCCGAUGUCAGAUUAGGUAGUUGGUGGGGUAAAGGCUCACCAAGCCAACGAGCUGUAGCUGGUCUGAGAGGACGACCGGCCACACUGGGACUGAGACACGGCCCAGACUCCUACGGGAGGCGGCAGUGGGGAAUUUUGGACAAUGGGCGCAAGCCUGAUCCAGCCAUGCCGCGUGAGUGAAGAAGGCCUUCGGGUUGUAAAGCUCUUUCGGACGGGAAGAAAUUGGUGGGGCUAAUAUCCCCAUCGGAUGACGGUACCGUAAUAAGAAGCACCGGCUAACUACGUGCCAGCCGCCGCCGUAAUAC